rnacentral:rRNA from 1 species
CGAGCGGGGAAAGGUAGCUUGCUACCUGUCCUAGCGGCGGACGGGUGAGUAAUGCUUAGGAAUCUGCCUAUUAGUGGGGGACAACAUUCCGAAAGGAAUGCUAAUACCGCAUACGCCCUACGGGGGAAAGCAGGGGAUCUUCGGACCUUGCGCUAAUAGAUGAGCCUAAGUCAGAUUAGCUAGUUGGUGGGGUAAAGGCCUACCAAGGCGACGAUCUGUAGCGGGUCUGAGAGGAUGAUCCGCCACACUGGGACUGAGACACGGCCCAGACUCCUACGGGAGGCAGCAGUGGGGAAUAUUGGACAAUGGGCGAAAGCCUGAUCCAGCCAUGCCGCGUGUGUGAAGAAGGCCUUUUGGUUGUAAAGCACUUUAAGCGAGGAGGAGGCUACCGAGAUUAAUACUCUUGGAUAGUGGACGUUACUCGCAGAAUAAGCACCGGCUAACUCUGUGCCAGCAGCCGCGGUAAUACAGAGGGUGCGAGCGUUAAUCGGAUUUACUGGGCGUAAAGCGUGCGUAGGCGGCUUUUUAAGUCGGAUGUGAAAUCCCUGAGCUUAACUUAGGAAUUGCAUUCGAUACUGGGAAGCUAGAGUAUGGGAGAGGAUGGUAGAAUUCCAGGUGUAGCGGUGAAAUGCGUAGAGAUCUGGAGGAAUACCGAUGGCGAAGGCAGCCAUCUGGCCUAAUACUGACGCUGAGGUACGAAAGCAUGGGGAGCAAACAGGAUUAGAUACCCUGGUAGUCCAUGCCGUAACGAUGUCUACUAGCCGUUGGGGCCUUUGAGGCUUUAGUGGCGCAGCUAACGCGAUAAGUAGACGCUGGGGAGUACGGUCGCAAGACUAAAACUCAAAUGAAUUGACGGGGGCCCGCACAAGCGGUGGAGCAUGUGGUUUAAUUCGAUGCAACGCGAAGAACCUUACCUGGUCUUGACAUAGUAAGAACUUUCCAGAGAUGGAUUGGUGCCUUCGGGAACUUACAUACAGGUGUCUUGAUGGGGGUUUUUUCACUCGUGUCGUGAGAUGUUGGGUUAAGUCCCGCAACGAGCGCAACCCUUUUCCUUAUUUGCCAGCGGGUUAAGCCGGGAACUUUAAGGAUACUGCCAGUGACAAACUGGAGGAAGGCGGGGACGACGUCAAGUCAUCAUGGCCCUUACGACCAGGGCUACACACGUGCUACAAUGGUCGGUACAAAGGGUUGCUACCUAGCGAUAGGAUGCUAAUCUCAAAAAGCCGAUCGUAGUCCGGAUUGGAGUCUGCAACUCGACUCCAUGAAGUCGGAAUCGCUAGUAAUCGCGGAUCAGAAUGCCGCGGUGAAUACGUUCCCGGGCCUUGUACACACCGCCCGUCACACCAUGGGAAUUUGUUGCACCAGAAGUAGGUAGUCUAACCGCAAGGA